rnacentral:rRNA from 1 species
UUGGUACGCACUGGCUUUACUGAUUCCUCCUUCUUGACGAACCGUGAUGUCAUUAAUUUGGUGUUGCGGGAAAUCAGGACUGUUACUUUGAAAAAAUUAGAGUGUUUAAAGCAAGCUAACGCUUGAAUACAUUAGCAUGGAAUAAUGAAAUAGGACGUUCGAUCCUAUUUUGUUGGUUUCUAGGAUUGACGUAAUGAUUAAUAGGGAUAGUUGGGGGCAUUAGUAUUCAAUUGUCAGAGGUGAAAUUCUUGGAUUUAUUGAAGACUAACUACUGCGAAAGCAUUUGCCAAGGAUGUUUUCAUUAAUCAAGAACGAAAGUUAGGGGAUCGAAGACGAUCAGAUACCGUCGUAGUCUUAACCAUAAACUAUGCCGACUAGGGAUCGGAUGAUGUUAAUUUUUUAAUGACUCAUUCGGCGCCUUACG